rnacentral:rRNA from 1 species
AGAUUAAGCCAUGCAUGUGUCAGUACAAACAAAAUUAAAGUGAAACCGCGAAUGGCUCAUUAAAUCAGCUAUGAUUCAUUGGAUCUGUACACCCAGUUUUCCUUGGAUAACUGUGGUAAUUCUAGAGCUAAUACAUGCACAUAUAGUCCCUAAUCCUGCUACUCCUUGUAAUGAUGAGAGUGGGAAAAGGGCGCUUUUAUUAGUAUCAAAACCGGUCGGGCUUCGGUCUGUAAACCUAUUUGAUGACUCUGGAUAACUUUUAGCUGAGCGCACGGUCUUUUGCACUGGCGCCGCUUCUUUCAAGUGUCUGCCUUAUCAGCUUUCGAUUGUAAGUUAUGUGCUUACAAUGGCUAUAACGGGUAACGGGGAAUCAGGGUUCGAUUCCGGAGAGGGAGCCUGAGAAACGGCUACCACAUCUAAGGAAGGCAGCAGGCACGCAAAUUACCCACUCCCAGUACGGGGAGGUAGUGACGAAAAAUAACGAUGCGAGACUCAUCCGAGGCCUCGCAAUCGGAAUGAGUACACUUUAAAUCCUUUAACGAGGAUCAAUUGGAGGGCAAGUCUGGUGCCAGCAGCCGCGGUAAUUCCAGCUCCAAUGGCGUAUAUUAAAGUUGUUGCGGUUAAAAAGCUCGUAGUUGGAUUUCAGUGUUGGACUGAUGAGUUUUUUUCACCGUCAGGUGAUUAAACAGAAUCAAGUUUCAAAACCUGCAAUCACAAUAAUUACAUUGUGUAUUGCUCAACUAGCUCACACGGGGUGCUCUUAAUCGAGUGUCCCGAGUGGCUGGUAUGUUUACUUUGAAAAAAUUAGAGUGCUCAGAGCAGGCUAAUAAUGGCCUGAAUGUCUAUGCAUGGAAUAAUAUAAGAGGACCUCGGUUUUAUGUUUUACCGCGUUUCUUUUGGAAACCCGAGGUAAUGAUUAACAGAACCAGAUGAGGGCAUUAGUACUGCGACGCUAGAGGUGAAAUCUG